rnacentral:rRNA from 1 species
AACGAACGCUGGCGGCAGGCUUAACACAUGCAAGUCGAGCGCCCCGCAAGGGGAGCGGCAGACGGGUGAGUAACACGUGGGAACCUUCCUAGAGGUACGGAACAACUCAGGGAAACUUGAGCUAAUACCGUAUACGCUCUUGCGAGGAAAGAUUUAUCGCCUUUAGACGGGCCCGCGUCGGAUUAGCUAGUUGGUGGGGUAACGGCCUACCAAGGCGACGAUCCGUAGCUGAUCUGAGAGGAUGAUCAGCCACACUGGGACUGAGACACGGCCCAGACUCCUACGGGAGGCAGCAGUGGGGAAUCUUGGACAAUGGGCACAAGCCUGAUCCAGCCAUGCCGCGUGAGUGAAGAAGGCCUUCGGGUUGUAAAGCUCUUUUGCCGGGGACGAUAAUGACGGUACCUGGAGAAUAAGCCCCGGCAAACUUCGUGCCAGCAGCCGCAGUAA